rnacentral:rRNA from 1 species
AUUGAACGCUGGCGGCAUGCUUUACACAUGCAAGUCGGACGAGUGGCGAACGGGUGAGUAACGCAUCGGAACGUACCGAGUAAUGGGGGAUAACUGUCCGAAAGGACAGCUAAUACCGCAUAUUAUUCGAGCGGCAGAUGUCUGAUUAGCUGGUUGGCGGGGUAAAGGCCCACCAAGGCGAUGAUCAGUAGCCGGUCUGAGAGGAUGAACGGCCACAUUGGGACUGAGACACGGCCCAGACUCCUACGGGAGGCAGCAGUGGGGAAUAUUGCACAAUGGGCGCAAGCCUGAUGCAGCCAUGCCGCGUGUGUGAAGAAGGCCUUCGGGUUGUAAAGCACUUUCAGCGGGGAGGCGGUACCGGAAUAGAAAGCCACGGCUAACUACGUGCCAGCCGCCGCGGUAAUAC